GACAGAGGGGGCAAGCGUUGCUCGGAAUCACUGGGCGUAAAGGGCGCGUAGGCGGGCCGCCGCGUCCGGGGUGAAAUCCUCCCGCUCAACGGGAGAGCGGCCUCGGAUACGGGCGGCCUGGAGGGGGGUAGGGGCGUGCGGAACUGUGGGUGGAGCGGUGAAAUGCGUUGAUAUCCACAGGAACUCCGGUGGCGAAGGCGGCACGCUGGACCCCUCCUGACGCUGAGGCGCGAAAGCCAGGGGAGCGAACGGG
rnacentral:rRNA from 1 species